AAAAUAUAUAUGGCUUCUAGAUUUUAAUGAUUAUUUUUUUUUCUUUAAGCUUAAAGAAGAAUUCCAAAGAACGGCCUACAUACCCAGAGCUAAUGCAACAUCCAUUUUUCACCCUACAUGAAUCCAAAGGAACAGAUGUGGCAUCUUUUGUAAAACUGAUUCUUGGAGACUAAAAAGCAAUGGACUUAAUCGGUUGACCCUACUGUGGAUUGGUGGGUUUCGGGGUGAAGCAAGUUCACUACAGCAUCAAUAGAAAGUCAUCUUUGAGAUAAUUUAACCCUGCCUCUCAGAGGGUUUUCUCUCCCAAUUUUCUUUUUAUUCCCCCUCUUAAGGGGGCCUUGGAAUCUAUAGUAUAGAAUGAACUGUCUAGAUGGAUGAAUUAUGAUAAAGGCUUAGGACUUCAAAAGGUGAUUAAAUAUUUAAUGAUGUGU
rnacentral:sRNA from 1 species